rnacentral:sRNA from 1 species
UUAUUUAUAGCAGAUGCUUGAAAUUUUAACACAGUGUUUGUUAAGGCAUGCCAUAUCAUGGGAUAUAUUUUUGUACCAAUCGGACGUCAACUUCCUGUUAAAUGAGUACUUUGUUUAUUUUAGCCAAAAUUUUCAAACAAAUUUUCCUCAAAGAUUUCUCAGCAGCUAUUUAUUGCAGAAACUUGAAAUUUUAACACACUAUUUGUUUAGGAAUGCCAUAUUGUGGGAUAUAUUUCUGUACCAAUCGGAUGCCAGCUUUAUGUUAAAUGUCGACUUUGCUUAUUUUGCAUAUUCACAUCAGAGCGGGGGUAUCACUAGUGAGCAUUGGCUCACAGAUAUCUUGUUUAGUUUCAUGUUCCUAAUCUGGUUUAAUAUAGAAUUUUUAGAACCAAGAAAUAUAAAAUGUAUAUGCCUCUUUCGUCCAGUUACUAUACAUAAAAUAAACAAGAGGCCAAUGGGCCCCAUUGCUAACCAGAGCAACAUGAAUCUCAUAAAAAUUAGUUUUUAUGGAGUCGUAUAAAAAUAGCUUGCAAUGUUGUUGACGAGAUCCUGUGUAAAAGUUUACCUGUAAAAAAUGUUCUCCAGAUAUUGUUAUGUUCAACAUUCAGCCCCCUUUGUUAUGUUAGUGAUUGCUAUUUCAACAUUUAAGUAGAGUAGAUCUUGCUUAAAAAGAUUCUUAGUUAUCUUAAAAUUUUUAUCCACUUAUAAUGUUAAAAAUCAAUUAAGCCCCUUUUGUUGUUCCAGUAUUUGUGAGAAUAUUUUUAAAGAUUUAAAGAUAAUUCAUAUACGAAACUAAGUCCCAAAAAUAUGGAAUCAUUUCGUGGAGGAUGUUAUUUCGUGGAUGAGUGGUACCCACGAAUUCCAUGAAAAUUGAGCCACCACGAAAUCUAAUGAUUCCACAGUAAAUGGAGAUUACUGAGCUCUGUGCACCUAAAUGAGGUAUCACCUUUACACCGUUAUGAGAUCACCUCAAUCAUAUAUGAAUAUCCUAGUUAUUGAUUUAAAAUAAGUUAACAUACUGUACAGUAAUGUGUGGUUUGACACAAUAUUGUUUAAUAUGUAAUUGUAAAAUGUUAUAUGUAAAUCAUAUAUCGUAUGAUACAGUAUCCAUCAAUACACUGCUAUAUAAAACAAUAUUGUAUCAUAUAAUGCAAUAUAAUAUUGUGUCAUUUGAUAAAAUGUCAUGAUAUUACAAUAAAAUAUUGCACAAUAUCAUACCAAAUUGUGACAAAAAGAAUAAAUUCCUUAAAACUUU